UGUAAACUUCCCGCCCCUGUGGUAUGCGGCGGCAGCUUUCAGCUCUGCUCUUCUGCCUCUGCGCUCAGUCCACUUCCCGGGGAGCUUUCAUGUGUAGCAUCUCUGUGCUCUCAAGUGGGCUUGGGUGGAGCUUGUGUUCAGCUUUGGAUCCUCGCUCUCGUCUCUUCUUUUGCUCCCUUCCACGGUAUCUGCUUGUUCUCCCAGCCACUUUUCUUUUUCUUUCUUUCUUUUUUUUUUCUUUUUUGAGACAGAGAAGCCCCAUGUAACCCUGGCUGUCUCAGAAUUCGCUGUGUAGACAAAGGUAGCCUCAAACUCAGAGACCCACCUGCCUCUGUCUCCAGAGAGCAUUUUACCCACUGACACCCACACCGUGGAGACUUGUGCUUUCCAGUUCCUUUACUCUGAAUACACGUGCUGUAGGUUCCAAGGUGACCCAAACUUGUGAAUGUCAGCAGGACUAGUUGUGGCAUCUUAAUCUGCUGACCCCUGAGACUGAGGAUAGGACUCUAGGAUAAGAAGCAGUGGUGCCUGAUAGAUAGAGCUGGAGCAUUGUUCUGUUUGCAUCUGUUCGAUAGGCAUUGGAAAGAGAUUGAAUUUGUUAGUGGUUCCGUUGGGCAAAGAGUGGAUAAAAGCCGAUGUUGGCGGUCAUUUGUGACAGAAAAUAAAUGAAGGAAAGUUACUGACAACAGCAGGAGUUACCAUAAUUAGGAAGUGUUAAAUCUCAAUUAUAAAUCUAGGACUUACUACUUUCCCCUCCCUGUGGAGACAGGAGCUCAUGUAGCUUAGCUGGCUUUGCUCUCACUCUGUAGCCAGUGAUGACUCAAACCUCCAUCUUCCUCCUUCCACCUCCCAUCCAGGCCCUAGGAUCACUACUAUGCACCAUUCCCAGCUUGUGUGGUGCUUGGGGUUGAACCCGGAGUGUCAUGCAUGCUGGGCAAGCAGCCUGUCAGACGCGGCCAUGGCCAGUCCUACUUCCCAGUCUUCAGCAUACAACGCACCCCUUCUUUAUGGAUGCAAACUAGAAAGAUGACCCAGUCUUGCUGCUUCAGUUUUUAAAAUGGGAGAACAGCUGGAUGCAAUGAGUUUGCAGUUUAAACAGUCAGUGUUGCUGUUCAUUUUUAAAGCCAGGCACAGUAUCAUAGGCACACACCUUUCAUUCCAGCACACAGGAUGCAGAGCAGGCAGAUCUCUGAAUUCAGGGCCAGUCUGCCCUACAGAGUUGAGUUUCAGGACAGCCAAGGCUACACAGGCAAACCUGGUCUUG
rnacentral:lncRNA from 1 species